rnacentral:lncRNA from 1 species
CUGAAUCGCAACUUUUACAAUUCUUCUUUAUACUAGAAUCAUAUUAUAUGAUUUAUUGAGCAUGAGUAGAUAUGAGUAAUAAUAUACAAUUCAUUCUUUCAAGCAUAUCCCAUUUUUAGAACAAAUAAUCUUCAUCUAUCGAAUAAGUCAACAAUUUACACAUCUGUGAUUUACACAUGAAAAUAUCAUCAAAUGAUUCAACACAAUCUCAAUUAAAUCACUAGUCUUCUUUUCAUGCGCUCUUAAUCACGAUAGAUCGCAUCCUAGCUUUAACCUGCAAAUUAAGCAAGAUUGAGCACGACGACCCAGCAAGUUUAACAGUCUAUCAUGCAUCACGUAACAUAUAAGUUUCACAUUCAGUUCAUGCAUUUAUAUUCUUGGUGUUCAAGCAUAUUACAAAUACAUUAUCACAUUUAUGUCCUGCUGAUAGCAACAUACACACCAUAGUAUACUACACAUAUCAUGUACCUGUCAUUCAUUGCACAUAUAUAUUGAGUUCCCCGACUCAAUUCAAUAAUUAGUCAUAAUUUGACAUUCAUCAUUCACAAAGCAAAUAAUGCAGUUCAUAAGUAUUAUCAUGCUAACAGUUAUCUAUAGCAAUUAUAAGUCCACAUAAAUAAAUUGAGAAACUUGCCUUGUUUGUAGACUAUUGGUACAAUUUCAGCUUAACUUGUGUAUUCUCACAGAUCCUACACAAUUAUUUGCGUUUACAAGCAUAUUAGCCAAAUAACCAAGUCAUAUAGCUUGUAUGUUCACAUAUCACAUAAUCAUGAUGUUUUUAAUUCAUGUUCUAUAUUUAAGAUAUAUUUUUCAAAUAUCUCAUUCAUGUUCUUACAAUAACCUUUUCUUUCUUUCAUAGGGUUUGACAUAAUUUUUGUUCAUGAACUUUUCAUGAUAUUAGUUCACACUCCUUUUACUUCUUUUGUUUGCCAUAAGUAUACAUUGCAAUCUGCUUUAUAACUUAGGUAUUCAAGGUGAAUACGUAAGGUAUUUCAUGUAUUAAAUAUAAUUGUAUAUCAUAAGGGUAGAACUUUUAGUUUCCAAUCUGCUUUGCAAACUAUAUUGUCAAACUAUUCGUUUAAACUUAUUGAGUUUCUUAGUUAUGUCAAAUCAGCCCUCUUUGGCCAAAUAUAUCUUGCAGCCUUUAUUGUUGCUUCAACAAUUCUUUCGCAUAAUUUAAUUUGACUUAUUAUCAUUUCACUAUGGUGAGGCUAAAUUUUGUUUGUUAUCCUUUUGUUUCCUCUAUUUAACUAGGUGAGUCUAGUAGCUCACUUAAAUGCACUAACGGUUUCUUAGCAUUUCUUUAUGCUAUUAGUCACUUAUAUUUGACUGUGGGAUUAAAUUAAUUUUAGUGUGGCUUUACACUGCAUUAGCAGUUAACUAACCACUGUUACUGCAAAUGUGCAGCAGCUUUGCCUCUCCUUUGCUCACUAAUUAGCUCCAAUUGCAUUUUUAAUUUAAAUUGAGCUGCCCCAAAACUGCCAUAGCAGUUUCCUAAUGUUAUAUGUUGCCCUUUACUUAUGCUACAAAACAGAACCACAAGUGGUCUUUCUUUACUGCUGUAGCAGCUAGUUGCUGCUUGCUAUUGCUGGUAUUUGUUGAUGUAGCAUCUAUUUUCUGCACGCCGCUGCUGGUUAUAACUGCUGCCAGUGGGCUGCAGCCCUUUCUUUGAGUUCCUACUUUGAUACACCUUAAUCCUCACAUUAUAUUUCUAACUCAAAUUGGCUGCCCACAUUUGCCAAAAUAGUGUGUUGUGGUUGCUUGAUGCUGCCCCAUGGCUGCAACCCUUACCUCUUACUCUAAAUAAUUUACUUUCCUCACGUGUCAAUUCAACUGCCAUAAACUUUUAGCAUGUUAUAUGCACUUUAUAUCCUUACUUGUAUCCUUACUAAAUCCCAACAACUUCAAUUCAAUUUAUUGUAGUCGUGUUCAAAACAGCCCCAAAGGACUAAAACAAAACAGGCCAGCCGCAACAGCCAAACCAUAUUGCUCUCUGGGCUCCUUUUCCAUUUUCUAGUUUGCAAAUCACAAGUCCAAUGGAAACCAAAAUUUAGCAUGUUAUAAAGGGUAUAUCGUAGUAUUUUUUUAAAAUAUAACUCUUCUAAUUUGGGCAUCCUAGACAGGUUAAACAGAGGGCUAAAACUGCCAUAUCGAAACAGUUUUUAACUUUUUCCCAGCUUUACCCUCUCUCGCUAAAACAGUCGUAACUUUUUCGUUUCAAAACAUUUUUGAGAGAUUCUUGAGCCCACGCGAAGCUAACUUCUGAGGCUACAACUUUUAUUCUUUGACCAUUUCCAAAUUCAAAACAAAUAAUUCCAGAAUUUCGUGCAAAAGGGACUAGUCGGAAUUGGUUGGACAGUUUUGAUGCAACUACUUUGAAUGGUCGUAACUCUUUACUCCGAAGUCAAAAUUAGUCCGUUUCAGAGUCUAUGAAAAGCUUAUUCAGUGUACUAUAAUACCCCAAAAUCCCAGAAUUUUUUGGAUACAUAUACUUUCUCCGAAUUUAUGUUUUAGGGUCAGCAAUCACACAAUAUUUCGGACUUUUCGUUUUGUCUCAAAAUUGUUUUUCGUUCUAAUUUGAGUUGCCCAAACCCUUUAAUUAUGUACAUAUAGUGUAUAUAUAUGUAGCCUUAGCCUCGGCUUCGCCUAAUUCUUUUUAACAAAAAUAGUCCUUUGACUUUUAGCAAACACAUAGUGUGCGUCGCUUUAAAAUUCAGUUUUCAUAGAGUUUGGUUUGUGUUCUAGCCCAAUUUUUUGUUUCACCUUAUUACUCCACACAACCAUGCUAAUCUCCAUGGCUCUAAUUUAGUCCACAAGGAUCCGAUCACCAUUAUACCAUUCAUGAAUACAUAUUUACACUAACUAGUUAACAAGUUAGUUUACUGACUUUAAUCUUUGCAUACUCAAUUUUAUACAAUAUCAAUUCCCAUAGCUUAUCAAUAUAAAGAAUCCAAUACAUAUCACAUGAACUACUAAUGCAACAAAUCAAUCUCAACACCCAACUGAUUUCACAACCAAAUAAAGCAAUAUACAAUAUAAUUUUAGUUAUCAAAAUAACAUGAUUAAGCAACAAGUAAACAUAAAUUGGGUUGGAGUGAUAGAUAUCAUGUUAUAGCAUAUUAACCAUCUUAGAAACAGGUGAUAGUCAUUACUUGUCAAGCCUCAAAUAACUGUUAGCAAAGAGCUCACCCUUUCAGUCCCUUUUUAUUUUGUUUUGCUCAAGUGUUACACCAAUACAUGUUAUACUUAGGCAUAGAGUGUACUUGAAGCAUAGCCACACUUUAUAUUAGAAUUUAAACACCAUUUUGGACUCCAUUCCCAGCCAGCCUGCCUUGACACUAUAGCAGUUUUAGUCUAGCAUUUUAUCGAACAUGUGGUGUGCAGCCCUCAUUCAUACAUAUAGUACCUAGGCUUUUAGCUCCUUGGGCCCCAACCUUAUGGCUUUAAAACAAGAAGACCAUGAUAUUGCUACACGCCUAACCACAUUAAGACAUUAACAGUCCUGCAUCAAGCAAUUUAUUACCUACCUAGCAUAUAUUUAGUUACUUUAUACAUUCUUAUUUUGAACAAACUUCGCUGGGCUUACCUUAAAAAUUUAGUGUAAUUCAGUCCCCAAUUUCAUAGCAAUCAAUUUUUCAUCAAUUAAACAUUCAUGUAGACACAUACUUUCAUUCACAGGUAUCAAUUAAUAACACUAGUUUAAUUACAUAACCAAUUCUGUGUAGCAGUUCUAGCCAACUUCACCCAGCCACUGACAACUUGUCAUGCUAAAAAUGAAAUGGAAGAGGAAAUGGAAAGAAUUUAGCUGGACUAACCUUGCUAGCUUCUAACGAUAAAGUAGUGCAGUAAUCUCGAACUUCUCCUCCUUUCCAGCCGAAAAUCUCACUCUCCUUCAAGCUGUUACUAAUUUAAUCCUUUGAAGCUUGAGUUAUUUGAAGAGGCUAAUUUGUUGUAAGCAAUAAGCUUGGCCAUUUAUGGCUGAGCUUAUCUCUCUCUCAGGCAGCCUAGGUGACCUCUAUCCACUCCCCAUCAUCAAGUUUACCCGGCAGCUACUUGGCCCCUACUACUCUCCUGAUACAACUAUUAGCAGGCCUAGUUGACUCCUACCUUAUCCUUUACUCAGCCUACUGACAGCUCCUUGACAGUGGCCCCUAAUUAGCCACUCUAUAACAUAGCCCCUAACUAACUACUAAUCAACUAACUGAUUCCUCCCUCUUGGAACCAGUUAUACUAUUUGCUAAUUAAUCAGACUUAGCAUACUUCAUCUAACGUGGCUG